UCAAUGUGUCCCUUCAAAUAUGUAAACUAUUA
rnacentral:SRP_RNA from 1 species